rnacentral:sRNA from 1 species
AGAUGUUGCUCAACUCAGACAUCUUCUGGAAGCCCCAGGAGGCUGUGCAGGGAGAUGUGGGUUCCUUUGUGCUGAAGUUAGUGGAGGGCCUUCAGGGCCAGACAUGGGCCCCAGACUGGGUGGAGGAGCUGCGGGAAGCCGACCGGCAGAAGGAGCAGACCUUUCGGGAGAAGGCAGCGAUGCCUGUGGCUCAGCACCUGAACCCGGUGCGGGUGCUGCAGCUGGUGGAGGAAACGCUACCUGACAACUCAAUUCUGGUGGUGGAUGGCGGGGACUUCGUGGGCACUGCCGCCCAUCUGGUACAGCCCCGCGGCCCCCUGCGCUGGCUCGAUCCUGGUAAGGAAGGGCCCCCGCCUGGGGCAGUGGGCACCAUCCAUCCGGACGCCUUCACACCCACCUGCUCUUGGUCCUCUUAGGGGCCUUUGGGACUCUGGGAGUUGGUGCAGGAUUUGCACUUGGGGCCAAGCUGUGCCGGCCAGAUGCUGAGGUGAGGCACUGGAGUUGGGAGACUUGCUGCUCUCUAGGCCCUGAUCCACCCUAACCAUCCUGGGUCCCCUCCCCACUAGGUCUGGUGCCUGUUUGGGGAUGGAGCUUUUGGCUACAGCCUCAUCGAAUUUGAUACGUUCGUCAGACACAAGGUGACUGGGCUGGCCUGAGGGAAGCUUAGGGCCUGGGGUUCUGGGAGAUGUCACCAGGGGUGGGCUGAGGUAGGGAGGGAGCCUCCUGUCUGGCAGAGGCCCUAUCCCUGUCUCUGUCCUCUGGCUGGCCAAGCCAUGGGGCUGAAGGCUGCGGCCUGCCUUCAUCUUCUUCCUGUAGAUCCCAGUGAUGGCCUUGGUAGGGAAUGAUGCUGGCUGGACACAGAUUUCUCGGGAGCAGGUGCCCUCUCUGGGCAGCAACGUGGCCUGUGGCCUGGCCUACACUGGUGAGGGG